rnacentral:tRNA from 1 species
CCCUGAUGGCUCAGACAGUAAAGCAUCUGCCUGCAAUGUAGGGGACCUAGGUUUGAUCCCUGGGUCAGGGA